UCGGACUGCAGGCUGCAACUCGCCUGCACGAAGCCGGAGUUGCUAGUAAUCGCGGAUCAGAAUGCCGCGGUGAAUGCGUUCCCGGGUCUUGUACACACCGCCCGUCACACCAUGGAAGUUGGGGUGCCCAAAGCCGGCAGGGAAAUAUGCUGUCUAAGGCAAAACCAAUGACUGGGGUGAAGUCGUAACAAGGUAUC
rnacentral:rRNA from 1 species